GUGCUCGCUCUGACAGCACAUAUAUUAAAAUUGGGACCAUAAAGAGAAGAUUAGAUGGCCCUGUGCAAGGGUGACACAAAAAUUCAUGAAGCAUUCUAUAUUUAA